AAGCUUUUUGCUUUUAAAUUAAAAUCCUUUAAAAUAGUGGGUUUUUUCCCUCUUCUUAAUUUCAAAAAGAAGGCAACUCAACAAGGGUCUUUGAUCUUCACUGCCAUUUGGAAUAGCUCUCUUAGGUUGUAAAUUAAUUAAAUCCAAAGGCAUUUAAGAAAGUGAAGCUUUUGCCAGUCAGAUGUCCAUAAAGGCUGCAUAGCAAUUAAGGGCAUGUUGAAAUUCCCUCGGCUCCCAAGCCGUUCAACUCGCAAUCGACCACAAGAAACUCAAUUCCUGUGGUCGCCUCGCAAGGAGCAGCUCUUCCAGAGCACAAGUGGUGAUCCCCAGAUCUCUCCUUCUCUAUGGAGAGAUUUUUGUCAGCCAGAACCUGGCUUCUGGCUGGCAAUUCCACCGCAGGCUGUCCCUGCUUGCAGAGCUGCUCACAGGGAGGUCUAACCCACCCUCAGUUCUCACCUGGAAGCCCCAUUUUAUUAACUUUAGAUUUAUUUCCCAUGUCACUUCACUUUCCUCACAAAUACAGAUAUCUAUGGCCAUGACGUAUAGUAGCUUCCUUCAAAUUUUCAACUAAAGUUUACAUUCUUCUCUUAAAAGUAAAAUAAAUAAACUGCCACUAAAUUUGUAAGGAAAAAUUUUCCCCAUUUUUGAGAAAGAACAGUCACAGUACCAAUUCUGGCACUGUACUUUUAUUUUAAGAAGCAAUAUUUUAAUCUACCAUCCACAGAUUGUGAUUUAACACUUGCUUUGUUUUAUUCUCAGCAUUGAGAACUUUGAGUUAAAUCUGUUUACGCUGAAAGUAAAAAUGAAUAUGUGUUAGGUCUAUUUUAUUGUGAAGCUAUUGUAGACAAAAAUAUUUAAAAAUAUAUAUUAGAAAUUCACUGAAGAUAGCAUCUUCCUUUCACAGCAGCCGAAUAGACAAUCCUUUUGUAUAAAAUAAUUCAUUACUUCUUUAUUGUGCUUUAACAGAUUGAUCCUCAAUUACAUCAUUUGCCCACAUUGCCCAAACCAUCAAAGAGUUCCAGUAUACUCUCUCCCUCUUUCUCACAAACACCCCCACACACACAUAAACAUGUUGUUUUGAAGGCAGUGUCCUCCAGCCCAAAUCUUAUCUCCCAAGCAGUUAACAACACUUUCCUGAUGGUAUGUCAGCUUUCAUUUACAUACUUCCAUGUAUCGGUUGUGUUAUCAAUAACAUGUCACCUGGGGUCAGUAAUAUUAUAAUUAGCUUUGGUCAUUAUUUGUGUAAAUACAAGUUUCAUUAUUAUUAAUAAAUCAUUAAUAAAUACUUUGGUGUUAACCAAUCUUGGAAUACCAUAUGUAUGUUUGAAAAUGUACCUAUAUUCGGAAAAAUGAGGAACUGGCAACUUUCCUCCCCUAUCCCUUUAAUCAGAUGCUGCUAAACUGUUUAAUGUGACUGCUUUCCAUGAAUUUUAUCAAAAAAUUAACAUUACUGAAGACUAUUUGACCCUGGAAUAUAAUAUCCCAUAUUCUAUAACAGUGGGAGCAGCUCAAGAUCUGGUAGAAUGUGGAUUUUUGCCAUAAUGGCACUAGUGUUACAUAUUUUAAAUGAAAUUCCUUAUACUCCUUAUGUAUUCUGUUUUUUUUCUGAGCAGGAGGAAGGAUUUCCACACAGUACUAUGCUGCAGUCUGCCAACAUGCUUUUAGGACCCAGGACAUCACUGAAAAUAAAAACUGCUGGCCAUUGCCAAUUUGAUUUGCAAUAUGCCAUCUUCCUUUAAAAAAAAAAAAAUUAAAGGGAUUUUUAAUGUAAAAGAUCAGAUGGAGUAGGAAGCACCAGUGGAGCUGUCUGUGGAGCUCCUGGGCUCCAUUUGGAGGAUCUUGUAUCUAGGUAACUGCUACUUGGAGGUUCCCAUGUUGUAUGUUGGGCCACAAGCUGGAUACUCCAGGAAAUGGCAUCUCAACACAUCUAGAAGGCAUCUUUUAGGGAUGGUUGAUAUAGGAGAGGUAGAAUUUCUGCAUAAAAGCCUCCCAUAGAUAACUUCUAGCUUGUAGGUCAGCAAGGUUCAGUGAUGGACAGUUAACAUGAGUUGAUAUGUCGGCAUGACUAGCCUUUAUAUAAAUAGUGGAUGGGUUUGUGUGUGUAUGCUCUACUUCAUUAAAUUAUAUUUGCAUUCUUUACAAGAUAAAACUAGGUGUUUAGAAUAUUGUAUUAAUGGAGCUACCUGCAACAUUUCCUGGACGCGUUAGAAAAGCUAGCUCGAUUUAUUUAUACGGCCACCCAUCUCACAACAGUGACUUAACAGGUAGUAUGUAAGUUUAAAACAACAAUUUAACAAUCCAAACCAUAAUGUCCAAAACAAUGAUCCUAAUUUAUUUUUUUUAAAAAGCCUAUUCUGAUGUUUACAGAAAACUGAUGAAAUGCCCAAUUUACUGAAAAUAACAGAUAGUAUAGCACAAGGAGUCUGGCUGGGACUGUGGGGGACUUGACCAUGGAAAUUUUUGGGUGCCUCUGGCCCUAUCACUCUCUCUCACCCCAACCUAUCUUAAGAUCCUUGUGAGAAUUUGACAAGGGGAGGCUUAUAACCUGCUCAAAGCUGCCAUAGGAAAGUGGGAGAGAAGUGUAAUAACUAAAUCCACCCAAGUAAUUACAUGCUAUAAUUGGUGUAAGAAGGUGGAUAAGAGGGCCAAUAAUGGAAAAAUUAGUCAAGUUAGAAUGACGUAUGAUAAAUAAGAUACAAAAACCUAACUUUUAGUCUGGGUUCCUAAUCUUCAGACAUACACUGUUAUAUUUUUAAAGCUUUUAUUUCAAGUUCAAAUUCUUAAAGAUUUUAUUUCAUCAUGAUGAAAAAGUCUCUGCUUUUUGUUGUCCAUGAUAUCUCCAAAAUAUAUUGGGAAUCAUGGGCUUAGUUUUUCUAAAACUGUUUGUGAGUCUUGUGGUUGCAGAUUUCUUCAAUAACACAAACACGUGCCUUUAUUUUACAAACUGGUUGGAUUAAUACUGGCCAACUUCCUAGAGGAGGGAGGGGCAAGAACACAAUCCUUGCUGAUCACCCCUGCAGCUUUCUGCACCACCUCUCACAUUGCUGCAGCAAGUUCCUGACUCCUCCACAGUCACUUUUCAUGGGCAGACAGAGCUGCAAGGAUGAAUUGCAGAGAUGGCCUUUCUCCCCCACCUAAGAGGAACUAGUUGGUUAAAAACCUAUGGUUAUCUGCUUCCGUCUGAUACAAGAAUGUCUGCUCUGCUCUCAGGAAAAGUUAUGCAGUCUGCAGUCACCACUAUGCAGCAGUUUUAUGGCAUCCCUGUAACAGGAGUGUUGGAUCAGACCACUAUUGAGUGGAUGAAGAAACCUCGCUGUGGUGUUCCUGAUCAUCCCCAUCUAAGCCAUAGACGAAGGAUUAAGCGAUAUGCACUUACUGGACAAAAGUGGAGGCAGAAGCAUAUUAC